AUUCUGUUCUAUUUCAUUCUCCCUCUUUCCCUUCUCAAUCUCUCUCCUCUCUCUCUCUCUCUUUUCUCUCUACUUACUAAAAUUUCAAGCGACAAAUAGCAGAUGGCAACAAGUGGCAACAGAGCUCUCUUUGGAUUAGUCUCUCUCUAUCUAUCUCGGAAAAAAUAUUUAAUAUAAAUCUUUGCAACCUCUUUACAAUUCUCACAAAUCUCCACAUAAAAUAAGCUAUCAAUAUUCCUAUUUAUAAUAGUAUGAAACAUAUUUCAACUAGAAACAGGAAGGCUAUUACUGUAUUUAUUCUAACUACAAAUCCUAUUUAGACAUGAAUUAACUAAAUCAAAAUCCUAAAUAAUUAAGGUAUCCUACUACAACUUUGAGUUAAUUAAUUUUCCAACAAUCUCACUUUCUUUCUCUUUCUCUCUCGUCCAUCUUCAAUGGGGAAGAGCUAGCUUUGUUUUUUUUACCUUACCUUUAGUUUUUUGUGUCUUUUUUAGUUACAGGCGGCGAUGACACUCAGGAGGAACUUGGCAGAUUUUCAUCGGACUCCGGCCGCAACAACGACAAUGAGAUGGAACGUGUGCAUCGUAGAUUGAUGUAUAAUAGGAAUCAUUCUAAUCGUGCGGGAAUAAAAGAUAAAUUUACAGCAGAGGUCGUUGGAUUUAUUGCUAAGACAAAAACACUUGAUGAUUUUCUUAUUGAAGGGACGGUUAAGUGUACUUGUAUGAAAUACAAGUGUGUCAAGUUAUUAAGAACAGAAGAUAUUAAAGGUUAUAUUUAUAAGAAGGGAUUUAUGAAAAUUAUUAUGUAUGAAUUGUUCAUGGAGAAAAUAAUGCUAGUGUUGAUGAUGAUUUUUAAAAAAAAAAAAAAUUGGUAGUGAGGGUAGUCUCAUAAUGGAGAAUAGUGUUGAACUUUCUCGUUUCAAUGAAAUUACGAGGGAUGAUUUUGGGAUGUUCCCUCAAUCCGAACUAAAUAAUAAGGCUAAGCGUUUCUAUGAACAGUUAGAGAAAGGUAGUAUCAUCCACUGUAUGAAGGCUCAGUGCAUUCCACGUUGUGUAUUGCAAUUAGAUUACUACGUAGUAUACCAGAUAGUUCUAUUUUUCAAGCGUGUAUGAAUUCUAUCAUUGGGCAUAUGAAUGAACUUAAUCCAAUUAAAACUAACUUAUCCAAAGAACUUUAUACAGUAAAGAAAAUGAUUUUCAAACUAAUUCUUUCAUCAGAGAGGACUGAUCGUUGUAAGAAAGGUUGCAUGUUAUUCUAUAAGGAUAAUGCAACUUUAGAGAAUUAUAAAUUUUGUAACCAGCCUCAUUAUAAGGAACUCAUAAAUGCCAAUAGGAAGAGGAGGAUUUCAAUUAAGGCGAUGCAUUACUUACCCAUUAUAUCUAGGUUAAAGAGGUUAUAUGCAUCAAUCAGCUCCGCUCCUCAUAUGAAAUGAUACAUUGAAUAUAGAAGGCCACCUUGUAUUCUACGUCAUGUGUCAGGUAGAGAAGCGUGGAAGCAUUUUGAUGGGGAGUAUCUGAAAUUUGCUAUUGAACCAAGAAACAUUAUAUUGGGAUUAUGUGUAGAUAGUUUCACUUCAUUUGUUGUCUCUCCUGCACCAUAUUAUGUUGGCUAAUAUUCGUUGCGCCGCAUAAUCUUUCACGCAAAUUAUAUAUGAAAAGUCCAUAUUUAUUCCUAAUUUGUAUUGUUCCAGGUCCACACAAUUCGAAAAGUUGGAUUGAUGUAUAUAUGCAUCCUUUGAUUGAUGAGUUAAAGUUAUAUAGCUUGGUGAUGUGACCAUAAAGUCAAAAAGAUAUUUAAGUAUCUUUCACCGGGUACAAGCUUCAUACUAAAGAAUGAUCUUGAGGGCAAGAAAAUCACUAAUAGUAGGGUGUAGGUAAAAUGUGACAAGAAUUUUAAUUAUUAUGGUGUGCUUCAGGAGAUUUUAGAACUCGAAUAUAGUGUUGGUUGGUAGAAAAAAAGUAGGUACUCUUUUGAUUAAGUGAUAUGGUCCAACACCUACUAGAGGUACAAAAGUACACUCGGUAUAAAAUAGUUAAAAUUAAGCACGCGAGAGAAUAUGGACUCUAUGAUCCAUUUAUCAUUGCACAAAAUGUAAAUAAAUUUAUUAUGCUCCUUACUUUAUAUUUGUAAUAACAUAUUGAGUCGUUUUUAUGGCAUAAUACAUAAAUAUACCGUGAAACUUGGCAUCAGCUGGUAAGUAUGCCCUCCAACUUUGGGUUUGCACAUGUAGGCGCCUUAACUUAUCUCCACUUUGUCAGUUGAACACUCCAACUUACAAAAUGAUCACCUUAACUCCAAAAUUUAUGUAUCACGUCAGCAUUUGUAUUUAUGUGUUCAACUUUAUACAAAUUAAGGAGCCUACUUGUGCACACCCAAAGUUGAAGGCAUACUUUCGAGCUGAUGCUAAGUUUGAGGGCCUAUUUAUGUACUAUGACUUUUUUAUUUUAUAAUUUAUCAUGCUUACACUAUAUAGAUGGUGUCUAGAGGUAGCGAAUCAUUCGAAGAAUAAAUCUACAAAGAAAAAAUAUCCUUUGCCGACUACAAGUUACAAUACCUCAACUAUACCAAAUAUGAAUCAUCCACCCCAUUCUCCUCAUCCUCCUCAGUCGACUUAUCGCCACUUGAUUUUUUUACUAUCUCCCUCCCCCUUCCAUCUAACUCAUCAUGAUACUGGCCCUACCUGUAAUUUUAUGCCCACACUACUAUACCAUCUUCUUUUUCGGGUUUUCAUAUUAGUCAGCAUGGUGACUCAUUAUUGAAUACAUCCCUGGAUUAUCAUGUUAGUCAGCAUGAUGGUUCAUCAUCUGUGCCUCCAUCGCCGUCCACUCAAUUAUCGUAUGUGUCGUAAUCCACUCAUAACGUACAUAGGCUAGAAAUUAGAGGCUCUCACACAUCUACAUCUCUAUCUAGUGGUACUUCCACACCUAUUGAUUGACACUGUCAGAAUGUUGGAGGGGCUGUACAGUGUGAUGCUUAUCAUUGAUUGCUUAUCGUCCCCUAUAAGGACGGGUAAGCAAUUCUUAUGUUAUUUUUAAAUUUCUGAAUAUAGUUUUAUAUAUGUUAAAUUUAAGGAAAGUUAUUACAUAUGUUAAAUUUAAUACAUGUUUUUGACAUC